AGCUAAAGACGAUGCAGAGGAAGCAUAAAAUUCAAUUUCAGAAGCUGCAAAGAAUGAGUUUGUUUUACAGGCAGACCACCAUGCUGUUGGUUUACAUGUAAGACACAUGUCAAAGGAUUAUAUGAAUAUUUGUGCUGUUUUCAUGUUAAAAAUCUGAAUAUUAAAAAAUUAGUAUAUACCA